rnacentral:rRNA from 1 species
GAUGAACGCUAGCGGCAGGCCUAACACAUGCAAGUCGAGGGGUAGCAGGAUUAAGCUUGCUUAAUUGCUGACGACCGGCGCACGGGUGCGUAACGCGUAUGCAACCUACCCUAUACUGGGGUAUAGCCCGGAGAAAUUCGGAUUAAUCCCCCAUAGUACUAAUGAAUCGCAUGGUUUAUUAGUUAAAGCAUUGCGGUAUAAGAUGGGCAUGCGUCCUAUUAGCUAGAUGGUGAGGUAACGGCUCACCAUGGCUACGAUAGGUAGGGGGCCUGAGAGGGUGGUCCCCCACACUGGUACAGAGACACGGACCAGACUCCUACGAGAGGCAGCAGUGAGGAAUAUUGGUCAAUGGGCGCAAGCCUGAACCAGCCAUGCCGCGUGCAGGAAGAAUGCCCUAUGGGUUGUAAACUGCUUUUAUUUGGGAAUAAACCUCUUUACGUGUAGAGAGCUGAAGGUACCAAAUGAAUAAGCACCGGCUAACUCCGUGCCAGCAGCCGCCGCCG